CAACAUAAUAGAAAUCCAUCCCAAAUCACCACAGUAUGAAUACAACUACACCUCAUAUUUCAGUACAUAACGUAAUGGCGACGAGCCCACAAAAUCAGAAGUCAUACCAACCUAGCUAAUAUCCAAUCCAAACACCAUGUCCGAAGACCUAAUCAUGCUUUCUCCCGUCAAUUCUACACAAUACAUACGUUUCGCUAAUCAAAGUCUAACUAAAUAAGCCGUAACCUACCUCGAAUGUAGAACAGGAGCCACGAACUACUCCACACGAGCCUUCUAUUUUUGAAGCGCCUCAGAACGGUCAAAGUCUAACAAUAUGAUGCUAAGUAAGCAACAAACCAUGUAUUUAAACAAGAACAACAAUUUGGGGAAGAACACCCACUUACUUUUAUCCAUUUCAAUGGAUGAAACCAUCCUUUAAUGGUGAAUUUAUCAUAACUUCUAUCUCUACAAUCAUUAACCUUCAAUUCAUGGGUUUCUAAUCAAUUUUACCCUUUCAAACAGAUUUUAGGACAAAGUUUCCAUUUUUAUUAGAACCCUAAGUCUCAACAUGCAAUUUCAACCAUAAGAAAUCAAAUUCCCUUCCUAGAAAGUGAUAAUCUAUACUCCUAGAUGAUUAAUCAACAACAAAAUCAACAACCCAUCAAUUAUUUAAGGGUUUACUAAUUCUAGGGUUCUAGGAUUUUCACCCACCAUUGAUGGACCUUAAACUAAUCAUGGAACUUGAAGAAGAAAGGAAAAGGAACAAA